rnacentral:rRNA from 1 species
CGGGACGGGUGAGUAACGCGUGGAUAACCUGCCUCACACAGGGGGAUAACAGUUAGAAAUGACUGCUAAUACCGCAUAAGCGCACGGUACCGCAUGGUACAGUGUGAAAAACUCCGGUGGUGUGAGAUGGAUCCGCGUCUGAUUAGGUAGUUGGUGAGGUAACGGCCCACCAAGCCGACGAUCAGUAGCCGACCUGAGAGGGUGACCGGCCACAUUGGGACUGAGACACGGUCCAA